UUGGAACUGGUGUACUGUCUUAUCCACUGU
rnacentral:piRNA from 1 species